CCCAAAUCUGACAAAGAAACACGACUGGCAACAGCCAUGGCUGGGCGGACAGAUAGGAAAGAGUUUGUUAGAAAGAGGAGUAAGCUAAACCCGUUCGCCAGCACCAGUAACAAGGAGAAGAAACGGAAAAAGAACUUCAUGAUGAUGAAACACAGUCAGAAUGUGAGGAGCAAAGGAAAACGCUCCUUCAGAGAUAAACAGAUUGCAUUAAGAGAUGCACUCCUGAAGAAGAGAAAACACAAGUAAAUCUCAUCUGUGACGGACUGGAGCUGAUUUGAUGGGUCGUGUCAUGAUAUGAUCUCUGUGAACCAUUCUGUGUACAGGAAGACAACAUACAGACUUCUUGGCUGUGUGGAUUUUCAUGUUGCCUGUUAAUAAACAUUUGAAACUUU